GUGAUCAGGGUGCUUGGGGUGGUGGUUGUGGUCAGGGCGAAGGUUGAGGGGAGGGAUCUAGACAGCCUGGCCAUAUUGUUUUUGGAAAGAGCGCUAUACAAUGUUAAUUUCUUCACUGAUGAGUCAAUGGAUGAAUGAAAGGAUGUCUUCUUUAAACUGCUGCACGUUGGUGGGAUAUGAUGCUAGAAGGGACCUCAGGGAUGAUUCCAGGCCAGAAUGUUGACGGCUCCCAACCAAAGAGAAAAAUUCAGAUUAUAGACAUGUUUUCCCAGGACAUGCACUCAUAAAUCUGUAUCAGUCACUAACAAUCUCGGGAUGAACAAGUUCACUAUUGUCGACUUUGGAAACUAGCUAGGAGCUGGAAUUCUGAUGGGGAAAUAAACAUCAUUUUAGAUCCAGGAAGUUCAGAAUGAAAAUGAAAAAGCAGAUCUAGAUGGAAUGCUUCUAGAAGGCAAAGGAAGGUGCAGUGGACAGAGGUGGUGUCCAGGC
rnacentral:lncRNA from 1 species